rnacentral:lncRNA from 1 species
GAGAUACGAGUGGCCCUCACCUUUGAACCUGCUUUCAAAUUGUUCCCACAUCCCGGAUGUGGAUAAAACAGCCCCCGCUGCUGGGCCCGGCUGCGUACCCUCUCGUCUCGCAGCUCUAGCGAGAUAGAGAAGCUGAAGGAGCUUAAUGAAAAGGACUUGGAGGUACCAGGCUAGAGACAAGCAUCCAGAGGUUAAGAUUUGCUGCUGUUGGAGUUACUGAUUCUUUGGCCACUGAUUUAGAUGGACAAAGAAUGAGGCUGUACUUCUGUAAAGAGCCUCAAAGAAGCUUCCAUCUGUAGAAAACCCUACAAGAAAAACACGGAGCACUUUUUGGAAAUU